rnacentral:rRNA from 1 species
CCUAGCCUUGGAGUGGGGAAGUAACAGCUGGAAACAGCUGCUAAUACCGCAUAAUAUAUCUGGGUCGCAUGGCUCUGGAUAUCAAAGAUUUAUCGCUCUGAGAUGGACUCGCGUCUGAUUAGCUAGUUGGUGGGGCAACGGCCCACCAAGGCGACGAUCAGUAGCCGGACUGAGAGGUUGGCCGGCCACAUUGGGACUGAGACACGGCCCAGACUCCUACGGGAGGCAGCAG